rnacentral:rRNA from 1 species
AUUGAACGCUGGCGGCAUGCCUUACACAUGCAAGUCGAACGGUAACGCGGGGCAACCUGGCGACGGGUGGCGAACGGGUGAGUAAUGCAUCGGAACGUGCCCAGUAGUGGGGGAUAGCCCGGCGAAAGCCGGAUUAAUACCGCAUACGACCGACGGGUGAAAGCGGGGGACCGUAAGGCCUCGCGCUAUUGGAGCGGCAGACGUCAGAUUAGGUGGUUGGGUGGGUAAAAGCCUACCAAGCCGACGAUCUGUAGCUGGUCUGAGAGGACGACCAGCCACACUGGGACUGAGACACGGCCCAGACUCCUACGGGAGGCAGCAGUGGGGAAUUUUGGACAAUGGGGGCAACCCUGAUCCAGCCAUGCCGCGUGCGGGAAGAAGGCCUUCGGGUUGUAAACCGCUUUUGUCAGGGAAGAAACGCUCUGGGCUAAUACCCCGGGGUAAUGACGGUACCUGAAGAAUAAGCACCGGCUAACUACGUGCCAGCAGCCGCCGCCG